UACGUAGGUGGCAAGCGUUAUCCGGAAUUAUUGGGCGUAAAGCGCGCGUAGGCGGUUUUUUAAGUCUGAUGUGAAAGCCCACGGCUCAACCGUGGAGGAUCAUUGGAAACUGGAAAACUUGAGUGCAGAAGAGGAAAGUGGAAUUCCAUGCGUAGCGGUGAAAUGCGCGGAGAUAUGGAGGAACACCAGUGGCGAAGGCGACUUUCUGGUCUGUAACUGACGCUGAUGUGCGAAAGCGUGGGAUCAA
rnacentral:rRNA from 1 species